UACGGGGGGGCAAGCGUUGUUCGGAAUUACUGGGCGUAAAGGCUCGUAGGUGGCCAACUAAGUCAGGACGUGAAAUCCCUCAGCUUAACUGGGGAACUGCGUCUGAUACUGGAUGGCUUGAGUUGGGAGAGGGAUGCGGAAUUCCAGGUGUAGCGGUGAAAUGCGUAGAUAUUGGAGGAACACCAGUGGCGAAGGCGGCUACCUGGACCGGUUCUGACGCUGAUGCGCGAAAGCGUGGGUAGCAAACAGGA
rnacentral:rRNA from 1 species